GUUGUGGUGUAGUGGUUAUCACGUCAGUCUUACACACUAAAGGUCUCCAGUUCAAUCCUGGGCAGCAACAUAUGUAUUUAUUACUAUUAUUUCAUAUUAAUAGCGUUGUUUAAAUAAUUAAUAUACAUCAUAAGCCUUUU